rnacentral:rRNA from 1 species
CAUAUCAAUAAGCGGAGGAAAAGAAACCAACAGGGAUUGCCUUAGUAGCGGCGAGUGAAGCGGCAAAAGCUCAAAUUUGAAAUCUGGCUCUUUCAGAGUCCGAGUUGUAAUUUGAAGAAGGUAUCUUUGGGUCUGGCUCUUGUCUAUGUUUCUUGGAACAGAACGUCACAGAGGGUGAGAAUCCCGUGCGAUGAGAUGAUCCAGGCCUAUGUAAAGUUCCUUCGAAGAGUCGAGUUGUUUGGGAAUGCAGCUCUAAGUGGGUGGUAAAUUCCAUCUAAAGCUAAAUAUUGGCGAGAGACCGAUAGCGAACAAGUACAGUGAUGGAAAGAUGAAAAGAACUUUGAAAAGAGAGUGAAAAAGUACGUGAAAUUGUUGAAAGGGAAGGGCUUGAGAUCAGACUUGGUAUUUUGUAUGUUACUUCUUCGGGGGUGGCCUCUACAGUUUAUCGGGCCAGCAUCAGUUUGGGCGGUAGGAGAAUUGCGUUGGAAUGUGGCACGGCUUCGGUUGUGUGUUAUAGCCUUCGUCGAUACUGCCAGCCUAGACUGAGGACUGCGGUUUAUACCUAGGAUGUUGGCAUAAUGAUCUUAAGUCGCCCGUCUUGAAACACGGACCAAGGAGUCUAACGUCUAUGCGAGUGUUUGGGUGU